ensembl:lincRNA
AGCUCAUUCAGCUUGCUGCAUUGUGAGUAAUAAUGCCCCUUUCUUGUGACCGGGAUUCUUAGGUAUUCUGCAAGCUUCUAUGAAACUGUGGCAGGCUAAGUUGCUAGCUUACAUUUAGGCUAAGUAUACCGGUUCCUUUGCUGUUCUUGACAUUGAUUGCCUAAACUUCAGCAGAAGUGAGGGUGAGCCUUCAGCCUUUAUAAGAACAGAACAUGAGAAAUUUGUGUAAACCUCUGGUGAUGAGUUUUUGGAUACAAUGACAAAUGAAAGCAAUUGAUAAAACUGCUCAGCUGGAUGGUUCUUUUGCUUCAUGUCAUUGUCAUCAAGUGCCACAGGCAUCUGGAGUCUGUACUGGUUUGGAAUGUUCAAGACAUUUAAUUCAUGUGAUUCUAAUUAAUGCUGGCUGGGAGCUCUUUCAUGGAUGUUGAUGAGAACAAUACAAUUUCCUCAAUGUGACCUCUCCAUGUGGCUUGGAUGUCAGACAGCAUGGUGAUUGGUUUUUAAGAGGGAAGGUUUCAAAAAGGUGAAAGUGGACACUUCAGAUGUCCUAAGGACUAUGGAACUUACUAUCUAUCACUUCAGCUACACUUUAUUGAUCAACGAUAGUAAACAGGGUGUGCCAGAUUCAAUGAGAAGAGACUACAUGAUCUGUGAAUACUAGAAAGUCUCAUUCAUUGGGAACCAUCAUUGUGGAUCAACUACAGUAGAAGAGUUUCAGAACAUUUGUUAUCAAAUAUUUACAACAUUAGUGCCUAAAAUCCCCUCAUCUUGAGCAUUACAGUAUGUUUUGCUUCACUGUUUCUCUUUAGUUUUCAACUAUCCAGUCCUGAUUACUUACUGCCCCUAGAAUAUUCUAUAUAAAAACAGAUCAUACAUAUCUUUCCACUACUCAG